UUGGUCCUACGGGACGCAGCAGUGGGGAAUAUUGCACAAUGGGGGAAACCCUGAUGCAGCGACGCCGCGUGAGCGAAGAAGUAUUUCGGUAUGUAAAGCUCUAUCAGCAGGGAAGAAAAAUGACGGUACCUGAGUAAGAAGCACCGGCUAAAUACGUGCCAGCAGCCGCGGUAAUACGUAUGGUGCAAGCGUUAUCCGGAUUUACUGGGUAUAAAGGGAGCGCAGGCGGGGCGGCAAGUCUGAUGUGAAAGCCCGGGGCUCAACCCCGGGACUGCAUUGGAAACUAACGAACUAGAGUGUCGGAG
rnacentral:rRNA from 1 species